rnacentral:rRNA from 1 species
AGAGUUUGAUCAUGGCUCAGGAUGAACGCUAGCGGCAGGCUUAAUACAUGCAAGUCGAGGGGUAACAGUUGAGUAGCAAUACUUGAGCUGACGACCGGCAAACGGGUGCGGAACACGUGCGAAACCUUCCCUUAUCUGGGAGGUAGCCCGAAGAAAUUCGGAUUAAUAUCCCAUAAUAUAUUGAGAUGGCAUCAUUUUAAUAUUAAAACUCCGGUGGAUGAGGAUGGUCGCGCGUAUGAUUAGGUAGUUGGCGGGGUAACGGCCCACCAAGCCUACGAUCAUUAGCUGAUGUGAGAGCAUGAUCAGCCACACGGGCACUGAGACACGGGCCCGACUCCUACGGGAGGCAGCAGUAAAGAAUAUUGGUCAAUGGACGCAAGUCUGAACCAGCCAUGCCGCGUGAAGGAUUAAGGUCCUCUGGAUUGUAAACUUCUUUUAUAGGGGGCGAAACCCUUCAUUUCUAUGAAGCUUGACAGUACCCUAUGAACAAGCACCGGCUAACUCCGUGCCAGCAGCCGCGGUAAUACGGAGGGUGCAAGCGUUAUCCGGAUUUACUGGGUUUAAAGGGUGCGUAGGCGGACUUGUAAGUCUGAGGUGAAAUCUCCGAGCUUAACUCGGAAACUGCCUUGGAUACUAUAGGUCUUGAAUGUCGUUGAGGUCAGCGGAAUAUGUCACGUAGCGGUGAAAUGCUUAGAUAUGACAUAGAACACCUAUUGCGAAGGCAGCUGGCUAAGCGAAAAUUGACGCUGAGGCACGAAAGCGUGGGGAUCAAACAGGAUUAGAUACCCUGGUAGUCCACGCCCUAAACGAUGAUUACUCGACGUGCGCGAUACACAGUGCGCGUCUGAGCGAAAGCAUUAAGUAAUCCACCUGGGAAGUACGUUCGCAAGAAUGAAACUCAAAGGAAUUGGCGGGGGUCCGCACAAGCGGUGGAGUAUGUGGUUUAAUUCGAUGAUUACGCGAGGAC